UGGGCCUUUAUUAUCAAGUAUAAAGGCAAGAGGAAAUGUUAAUGAAUGCAAUGUGUUCUUCAUGCCAAUAGUCUUCUUCCUUAGAGAUAAUGUAUGCCAUUUUAGCAUCCAUUUUGGGUGACGCCACAUCGGUGUUCCUGGCUUUCUGCUUCUUCUUUUGCGACAUAUCAGUGCUCCACUGCUCUUGUUUUCUACUUCUUCUUCAGUUUGUUGCAAGUGGGUUUUGAAAGUUGAGAUUUUGAUUUUUAUUAUGGUCUAGGUUCUGCCCUUCGUGCGUCCAUGGCUCUAUGCGACUGCAAGUCCUUCCAUUUAGGUUUGCGAUUCCAAGGGAAACCAUGGUGAUUGGUGUAUGUGAAAUUGUGAAAUUGCAAAAUUGUGGUGGUGAUCGAUUUUCAUUUUCAUAAUAAUUCGAAUGGUGGCUGGAAGCUUGGAUAUUGUGACAGUGGAUUGGGAAGCCGAGAAUGGAGCAGAGUAAGAUGGAAUGUAAGCGAUCAGUAGUUAGAUGAGUCCACUCGUCUGUGAAGAUGGGCAAAAGGAUCUCUCUACAUGUGUUUGAGAAGGGCAAAAUUAGAAAAAUAAAAUAUUCAUGUUUUGAAUUGGAACUGUUUCCCUGAACAGUAAAUCGGAUUCUCCUUUAAUGUA